CUGCAUUGCAGCUGGUUUCCAAGGUCGAACUUCCUCGAGAACAUUGUGGAGUUUGUCAGCUAGGUAACUCAGGUCGGCUGCGGCAACAUUGGAUCGAGUAAAUCUGUGGGAGUCUAGUGAGAUGAAGGGCUGGAGUCAAUUCAAUGGAUAGCAAACGAGAUGAUAAUAGAUUUUUAUUGAAUAAAAACAACCGUUCACUAACUUUA